rnacentral:lncRNA from 1 species
UUCAAUAUAUAUAUAUAUAUAUAGUUGGACUGGGCUACUAUUAGUAGCAAAAAAUUCUAUUAUUGCUACCAAUUUUUUAGCCUUUGGAUCAACUCUUUUCAUUAUUUUUAACCAUUGAAUUAAAUACUAUAACCCAGUGAGGACCACUCAACCCUAGGGGACCACUCAACUCUAACCGACUAAUAUCAUCCUGAUCCUAUAAUUUUUUAUCCAAGGGUUAAAAACUUGAUAGCAAAAAGAGCGUUUUAUUAUUAACAGUAUUCCAGCCUAAUUCUAUAUAUAUAUAUAUAUAUAUAUAUAUAUAUAGAGAGAGAGAGAAGAAGAGAGAAAGAGAGAGAAGAGGGAGAGUGUCGCAUGCUUAUAGAACACCGACUAUAGCAGACGGAGCCUUCCGUGCUUCCAGUUCGUUUUCGAUGUUGCGACUUUCGAAUCGUCGAUCGGCCCCGUUAAACUUGAUCUAGAAUAUUUGAAGUACCUAGAAAAUAAAUUUUAUGAUUUUUCGAUAUCAUUUGCCUAGUGAUCGAAGGGACUCAAAAUUAAUAAUUUUAAUGGCCGUGGUGAGCCGGUUGCAAGUUUAACGGUGUAGAAAUAUCCAAAUCGCAUGAAAUUUUGAUAGAAAAUUCUUUAUAUGAUAUAAAACAAGAUCAAUAACUUUGAUUUAAAAUUUUAAUGUCAUAUCAUCAUAUUUUAUAAAAUUUUUAUUUUCAACCGUUGAUUUUGAGCCACUUCGAUCACUAGGCAAAUGAUAUCGAAAAAUCGUAAAAUUUAUUUUCUAGAUUCUUCAAAUACUCAAGAUUAAGUCUAACAGAGCCGAUCGUCGAUUCGAAAGUCCGAACAUCAAAAACAAAGUGGAAGCACGAAGCGCUCCGUACUUCCAUAAGCAUACCAGACGCACUAUCUAUACUAUAUAUAAAAGCGUAUAGGAAUUCCGACAAUGACAGACGGAAUCCAAAAAGGAAUAAAAUAAUAUUACCAACGAAUGGUUAUGAUUAAUAUGUUAAAAAUAUCUCAAAUAAAAACAAACGAUUAUGAUUAAUCUGUAAAAAAAAAUAAUAUUCCCUACGAAUGGCUAUGAUUAAUUUGUUAAAAAUAUCUCAAAUCAAUAAGAACGGUUAUGAUCAAUCUAUUAAAUCUCUACUAUAUAAAAAUCUAUUCUCUACAAAUGCUUAUGAUCAAUUUGUUAAAAAAAAAAAUCUCAAAUAAGAACAGUUAUGAUCAAUUUAUUAAAAAAUAGCAUUCCUAUCCAUCUAUAAAUUCAAUCCUACGAACGAUUAUAAUCAAUUUGUU